UACGGAGGGUGCGAGCGUUGUCCGGAAUCACUGGGCGUAAAGGGCGCGUAGGCGGCGCGGGUAGUCAACGGUGAAAGCGCGGGGCUCAACCCUGCGUCGGCCAUGAAUACUGCCGCGGCUGGAGCACUGUAGAGGCAGGCGGAAUUCCGGGUGUAGCGGUGGAAUGCGUAGAGAUCCGGAAGAACACCGGUGGCGAAGGCGGCCUGCUGGGCAGUUGCUGACACUGAGGCGCGACAGCGUGGGGAGCAAACAGG
rnacentral:rRNA from 1 species